UACUUUCAGUCAUUAUUACAAAUUAUUUAUUUCGAUAAUAAAAUGUUAUCUUGUCUAAGUUAUCUGAAUAAAAUCGCAAUCCUACAUCUAGUGCUUUAAUAUUGUAGUUAUAAAACGAAUGUCUGUAAAUUUUAAGAUGAUGCUUUCUAAUGUCUAAGUUGAGUGGUCUCUUGAUAUAAGGAUGAUGCACAUUUCCAACAAAUCCCGUUUCUCCAGUUAUGAUGCUUACAAACUGAUGUAAAUAAUUGGAUUACUUGAAACGCCCACGUAAUGACGAUAGUGAGAUUGGGAUAACGAGUGCAUAUCGCAAUAUAUUUUCUUCACUUUCAGUAUUUGUAAUUUGUGUGUAUUAUUAUUCCUUUGGUUUAAAUGUAGUAACGCUGUAGGUAGAUUCCUUAAUUAGACAUAUAUGUUUAGCCUAGAUGAACUAGAGUUUCGUCAUGUAAGGACUUGUCAUAUACAUAUAUAUUUGUAUUAAAUUUGAUCACAAAUUCGUGAACAUUCUGUAAUCUCUGAAUGUUUCAUUAUAUCAUAUUAAAUACUGUAUACCGUUUGACGUUA
rnacentral:lncRNA from 1 species